rnacentral:precursor_RNA from 1 species
CCCUUUUCGUGUUUUAUUAACAAAUAGUAAAAUACGAAGAGGCCGGUAAG